rnacentral:rRNA from 1 species
AUUGAACGCUGGCGUCAGGCUUAACACAUGCAAGUCGAGCGGGGUGAUGGUGCUUGCACUAUCACUUAGCGGCGGACGGGUGAGUAAUGCUUAGGAAUCUGCCUAUUAGUGGGGGACAACAUCUCGAAAGGGAUGCUAAUACCGCAUACGUCCUACGGGAGAAAGCAGGGGAUCACUUGUGACCUUGCGCUAAUAGAUGAGCCUAAGUCGGAUUAGCUAGUUGGUGGGGUAAAGGCCUACCAAGGCGACGAUCUGUAGCGGGUCUGAGAGGAUGAUCCGCCACACUGGGACUGAGACACGGCCCAGACUCCUACGGGAGGCAGCAGUGGGGAAUAUUGGACAAUGGGGGAAACCCUGAUCCAGCCAUGCAGCGUGUGCGAAGAAGGCCUUAUGGUUGUAAAGCACUUUAAGCGAGGAGGAGGCUCUUUUGGUUAAUACCCAAGAUGAGUGGACGUUACUCGCAGAAUAAGCACCGUCUAACUCUGUGCCAGCAGCCGCGGUAA